AGGUCAAGCUACGAAGAGCACACGGUGGAUGCCUUGGCACCAAGGGCCGAAGAAGGACGUGGCGUUGCUGCGAUAAGCCUCGGGGAGCUGCUAGCGAGCGUUGAUCCGGGGAUCUCCGAAUGGGGCAACCCACCUGGAGCAAUGUCCAGGUACUCCCGGUUGAACACAUAGGCCGGGUAGAGGGCACGCGGGGAACUGAAACAUCUUAGUACCCGCAGGAAGAGACAUUAUCCCCUGAGUAGUGGCGAGCGAAACGGGGACAGCCUAAACCGCGGCGGCGUGAAAGCCGGCAGGCGUUUCCGUCGCGGGGUCGUGGGACCCCUUGGUCCCCUCUGCCGGGGGGACAUGGAGUUACCAAGUCGCCAUCUAGUCGAACGGUUCUGGAAAGACCGGCCACAGCAGGUGACAGCCCUGUAGGCGAAAGAUGAGCGACCUCCAUAGGGUGUUCCCAAGUACCACGGAACACGUGGAAUUCUGUGGGAAUCUGGGCGGACCAUCGUCCAAGGCUAAAUACCCUUGGUGACCGAUAGUGAACUAGUACCGUGAGGGAAAGGUGAAAAGCACCCCGGAAGGGGAGUUAAAAGUACCUGAAACCGUGUGCUUACAAACCGUGAGAGGGCUAUGUCCUUCGGGAAAUGCCUGAUUGCGUGCCUUUUGUAGAAUGAGCCGGCGAGUUACUUCAGUGUGGCGAGGUUAAGGGGGACACACCCGGAGCCGAAGCGAAAGCGAGUCCGAACAGGGCGUGGCCGCCGCAAGGCGGUGGUAGUCGCACUGAGUAGACCCGNNNNNNNNNNNNNNNNNNNNNNNNNNNNNNNNNNNNNNNCGUGGAAGCCCGAACCGACCCCGGUUGAAAACGCGGCGGAUGAACUGUGGAUAGCGGUGAAAUGCCAAUCGAACUCGGAUAUAGCUGGUUCUCCUCGAAAUGCAUUUAGGUGCAGCGUCGUCGAUGGGUCUGUUGUUGGUAGAGCACUGAAUGGGCUAGGGGCGAUCACCUCGUUACCAAACCCAACCAAACUCCGAAUGACAGCAGAUUUUCCGGCGGCAGUGAGACUGUGGGGGCUAAGCUUCAUAGUCGAAAGGGAAACAGCCCAGACCACCGGCUAAGGUCCCUAAUCGCAAGCUAAGUGGGAAAGGAUGUCACGGUGCCCAGACAACCAGGAUGUUGGCUUAGAAGCAGCCACCAUUCAAAGAGUGCGUAAUAGCUCACUGGUCGAGUGUCGUGGCGCCGACAAUGAUCGGGGCUCAAGCUUGCAACCGACGCCGUGGAUGGCCCGCGUGAGCGGGUCGUGGUAGAGGAGCGUUCUGCCUGCAGCGAAGCCGGACCGUGAGGACCGGUGGAGCGGACAGAAGUGCGAAUGCCGGCACAAGUAGCGAGAAACGCGUGAGAAACGUGUUCGCCGUAAGCCUAAGGUUUCCUGGGCAACGUUACUCGUCCCAGGGUCAGUCGGGCCUAAGCCGAGGCCGAAAGGCGUAGGCGAUGGACAGUUGGUCAACAUUCCAACACCACCGACCGUUCGCUUGAGCAAUGGGGUGACGGGGAAGGGUAGGCCUAACGGGGCGCCGGUUGUCCCCGACGCAAACAGGUAGGGGGUCAGGUAGGCAAAUCCGCCUGGCAUAACCCCGAGAGGAUGCCAAAGCACAUUGUGCUGAUGGGGCCGAUCCCAUGCCUCCAAGAAAAACCUCUAGCGAGAACGGCGGUGCCCGUACCGCAAACCGACACAGGUAGGUGGGAAGAGGAUUCCAAGGCGAUCGAGAGAAGCGUGGCUAAGGAACUCGGCAAAAUGUCCCCGUAACUUCGGGAGAAGGGGAGCCCUUGGUGGUGAUCGGCCUCGCGCCGUGAGCUGCCGGGGGCCGCAGAGAAAAGGCCCAACCGACUGUUUACUAAAAACACAGGUCUCUGCUAAAGCGCAAGCUGACGUAUAGGGGCUGACGCCUGCCCGGUGCCGGAAGGUUAAGAGGAGGUGUGCAAGCGCUGAAUUGAAGCCCCGGUAAACGGCGGCCGUAACUAUAACGGUCCUAAGGUAGCGAAAUUCCUUGUCGGGUAAGUUCCGACCCGCACGAAUGGCGUAACGAGUUGGGCGCUGUCUCGGCCACGCACUCGGCGAAACUGAAGUACCUGUGAAGAUGCAGGUUACCCGCGGCAGGACGGAAAGACCCCGUGGAGCUUUACUACAACUUGCCACUGGAAUGGGGUCUAGCAUGUAGAGGAUAGCUGGGAGACUGCGAAGCGUGGCCGCCAGGUUGCGUGGAGUCGACGGUGGAAUACCAGCCUUGCUAGAUUUUAUUUCUAACCGGCACCGUCAUCCGGUGUCGGGACCGUGGCAGGCGGGUAGUUUGACUGGGGCGGUCGCCUCCCAAAAGGUAACGGAGGCGCCCAAAGGUUCCCUCAGCCUGGAUGGAAAUCAGGCCUAGAGAGUGCAAUGGCAUAAGGGAGCUUGACUGUGAGGCUGACAGGCCGAGCAGGGACGAAAGUCGGGCAUAGUGAUCCGACGGCUCUGAAUGGAAAGGCCGUCGCUCAACGGAUAAAAGCUACCCCGGGGAUAACAGGCUUAUCUUGCCCAAGAGUUCACAUCGACGGCAAGGUUUGGCACCUCGAUGUCGGCUCGUCGCAUCCUGGGGCUGGAGUAGGUCCCAAGGGUUGGGCUGUUCGCCCAUUAAAGCGGUACGCGAGCUGGGUUUAGAACGUCGUGAGACAGUUCGGUCCCUAUCCGCCGUGGGCGCAGGAGAUUUGAGGGGAGCUGACCUCAGUACGAGAGGACCGGGUUGGACGGACCGCUAGUGCACCGGUUGUUCCGCCAGGAGCACCGCCGGGUAGCCAUGUCCGGAUGGGAUAAGCGCUGAAAGCAUCUAAGUGCGAAGCCCACCCCAAGAUGAGAUCUCCCACCGGGUCAACCGGGUAAGACCCCAGCUAGACCAGCUGGUUGAUAGGCCGCAGGUGUAAGAGUGGCAACACUUUGAGCUGAGCGGUACUAAUCGGUCGAGGGCUUGACCUCC
rnacentral:rRNA from 1 species